CUCUGAGCAAAGAAUGCUUUCCUAAUAUCUGACCUCAACGUUUCCCCUUGCAGUUUAAUGUACACAUGAGGUGUGCACACAGCUCACCACCGAAAACUCCAGGUCAGUGAGACUUAUAGGACCUCCUGCUUCAGCUUUAAACGUGGAAGAAAGAAACACAGCUUAACAUUACCUUUCCUUCCUCUAUGCUGAGCUGAUAAACUUUGAAAAAUCAGAGGAAUGCUUAGAGGUAACUCCUUCUGGAGCUCGUUAAAAGCACACUUAAAACAGACAAUAUCAUCUUUUUCCUUGUAUUUUGGAAUAGUUUUGAGCUCCCGAGCACAGAAAACACAUCAGCUGUAUCAAGAGGAACACGCAUACAGAAAUACCCCUAUUAAGAAAAUAAUUAGGGCUAUAUAAAGAACAGCCAAACAAAAAGAACAAGCUGAAAAGCCUCCAAAAGACGCAGGCACACAUUGAAAUAGCUCAGCCUCACUUUCCAGGUGAUAGAAAUCAGCUGAGUCCCAGCACAGCUGAUGUUGGUGAAGGGUAUAAGCAUGCAUGGAGUGCAAGUUUACUUCUUUUAUGCUGGGGUUAAGCAUACUUGAUUUUUCUGGACUGAAGGAAGUCUUGUCUGUGGACCAAUCAAACGUUGGAGCCAGCCUUCUAAAUCUGGGAUCAGUCAGGUCAAUGACAGCAGAGCGUUAUGAGCAGCUCUAAGCUGGACUGGGAUGGAAAGAAGCAAAAAGUCAUGAUUUCAAAGCAGGAUCCUCCUUCAUCUCUGCAACAGGUAGCAUCAGGAUUAGUCAUGGCCCAAGACAAAAGACCCAAAGGAUUGGGAUUUGCAGAGCUUUCCUUCAGUCUGCUGCCCCUUGAAGCUCACUCCUAUGGCAUCCAAAGGAGAGCAAGUUGGCUGUUUGCAGUUAUGCCACUGGAUCUGGCUUCAACACCACUGUAUCAAUCUACAGUGGAAAGACUGUGUGUACUCCACAUUUUAGGCAUCUUUGGGACAUGUUUUCCAUUGCCUCAGAGGUACCUGCAUCUCCAACUGUUCCUAUUUUUCUGUGGCUGGCAUCUUUGAGUAAAAUGCUGACCUGAGCUCUUCUGAGCACUGCUAGAUGGCUGACAGCAGAAGGAACUGAGGGACAGUUGAAACACUGGGGAACCUGAUAGAAGAGGUGACACUGUGUGGAUAAAUGGAAACUCAGUAGAAUAAAAGAAGAAGAACUAGAUUUAAAAGAACAAAGACUUCUAGUUUGCUUGGCUCCACGUUGACUCUAUGAAAGACACAUGUAUGAAGAAGGCUCAGUGUAAAUCUGAUGAUUUUCUAAAGAUGUGAUGUGUUUGGAUCCUGGAUAUGAAACAUCUACUUUCCGUUGAGACUGUGUCACAGUUCUGCCUUUAUCCUGUGGUGUUUUCUGAAUUUGUUCUGUCUGAUUACGGUCACGUUUAGAGAACUGUUGCUUCAGAACACAAAGGCCCCUCACCUGUUGUCUCUCAUCCUCUGCCAGUGAAUGCCAGACACUUCCAAAGAAGGUGAGGAAUCAAACUGCUCAUCUAAUCUUUGUUCUGCUAAAACUACCCUAGAUGGAAGGUCUGAGAUCCAACAAGACCAUCUCAUAAUCCAGAGGGAAACAGCUACAAGGGAGCCUGGGAAUCAUCAAGUGUGCCUGAAGCAUGGACAAUCAUUGGAGCAAAACAGGAAUUAAACAGAAAUUGUAAACUUAUAUUCUCUGUGUAAUGAAAGAAGAAUCAUCACAUCCAUUUUGCAUUAUAGUCUUGAUCUCAUUAUACACAAUAAAUAGAAGAUGUGGAUGCAAGUCUUUUCUUGACCUUGAAGGAAAUCAAAUCCAUAGCUCGGUUAUUUUAGAACUUCUUUUGCCAAUGCCUGGGAGAGAUGGGCCACUUAGUGUCCAUUUGUGAGAGUAGGUGUUAUAAACUCUAUUGGUGGGAGACACUCUCCUCAUUAGAUAUACAAGUUCAGGUGCCAUGAAUCCUUCUGGAAACGCAGCCUUUCCUUGCUUUCCAUCUUGUUUUCCAGGUCUUACACAGCUGGCUAGGCUGACCAAUCAACUUGACAAAGGAAAUCAAGUCAGGAGUAUUGCUCUGUUCUAUCCACUAAGUUGCAUUGUGGUAUGCAGCCAGCACUCCUGAUCCUGUAGUCUUCACACACCUUGUAGUUACUUGCAUCAUAAGGGAAUGAGUGAGGUUUAUUUCACAAAGAUGCUGGAACGAGGGGUGAUGAUCUCAAUUCACAGUUUUACUGAGAUAUCGGUUUAAUUCAGCUUCAGGCUGUCUGUGCAAACCAAAGUGAUCAAUUCUUCUGUCAAACCAAAUCAUCUUCUACAUACACUUGUACAAUGUUAUUGCCAAAUCACUUUAAAUUUUAUAAAAUUUAAAAUUCAAAGAUCAAAACUAUAGUUAAGGUCAGGCACCUGCCUUGGGGAUUUAAGACCUACGUCUGCCAGCUCUCACAGGAGAAAGACAAGUAACCACUUUGUGCAUGUGAUGUCUGUGCAUGCAGGCACACCAUGACCUAAUGGAACAGGAAAACUAUCUCUUUUUCAGGAACAGGGGUGUUGUUUCCAUAUUCCCAUGGCUUUCUAUCAACUCAGGUCUCUAAACAAAAAGUGCACUGUUUGCUUAUAGUAUUGAUGGGAACUCCUCAAAAUGCAAGCAAAGUGGAACAGACCCAGGUAGAAGGAAGAAAACCCAAAGACAAUAGUCUACAGGGCUAGGGGAACCAUUCAUUCCAGAGUGGUGAUUUUGAAGUCUGCAGUCUUCAUGUUCACUGCCAUUGCAGUCACCACCUCAUAAACUUAGCAGGUUCCAGGAAUUCAUUUAUUUGCUCCCUCUGGAAGACUUGCUCCAGUCGUUAAAAAUCAUCUUCCACUUUCCAACCUAAAUUUAUUCAUGACCAGUUUAUCCCCAUCUGUUCCGAUGCCAAUGAUGUCUUAGGUUUAAAUAGCUUUUUUCCCUCUCUACUCUUUAACUCCCAUUUUAUUUAUAGGGUAUGAUCUUAACUGCUCCAAUCUUGCAUUUUGCUGAGCUAAACACGUCAAAGACUUUGAGUCUCCUAAACAGGGCACACCCUUCCUCUGAUGGUCCUUGUUGCCCUUUGCACCUAUUCCAGGUUGAAUUCAUCUUCCUUCAACGCAACAAACUAAAAUCAACCCUUAGAGUCCAGUGGCUUUGUAUGAUGCUAUUAACAGGUUCACCAGGCUAGAGAGGCCCUUUGUGCAGGGCAUUCCUUUUAAAAGUCAUCUUGCUCCAUCUCAAGAAAACUGUAGCCAUAGAAUCCUAAGUGUUGGAAAAGACCUCUAAGAUCACCAAGUCCAAAUAUCAACCCAUCCCCACCAUGCCCACUAAACCAUGUUUCCGUGUGCCAUAUCCCCAUGUUUCUUUAAAACCUCCAGUCAUUUCUAUCCUACCUCUACUGGAAAACUGCUGCCUGGUCUCCACCAUAAUCUUACAUGUGCGUACGCUUUACAAUCAUUCUUUUUUCUUGUCCCAUAGCUUUGUUCCUAAAGGGACAAGUAAUACUCAGCAUCUUUGUCUCUCCCAUCUGAAGGAGGAAACACUUUUCCCUUCAUUUCUGGAACAUAUUAUUUUAGGAUUAGCUCCUCUUGCACUUUUAAUUAAGGAAGGCCAUACUAAAGUAACUCUAGUUCUUCAUCCUCUUCUGCAUGGAAGUGCUACAACCAUGGCUGCAUUCAGGCUAUCCAGAGCAUGUUAGCCCAUGAGUAAACUCUUUUUCUUUCUACACCCAGGUUUUCUUAAAAAGGAAACCAAGCAGUUCAGUCCAUAUUAGAACACGGUAUGUGAUGUGGGUGACCUGUGGUGAAAGGUAUUUGAAAAAAAAAAAAAAGAAAGGAAUCAUCUUGACAAUCAUUUUAUAUCAACAUUCCUUUCUCUACCAGCAGACAACCCACACAAUACUGAAAAUGGGUAGAAUUUGGAGACACCAUUUCCUCCUCCAAGUAAAAAUGAAACCAAGUCCAAGAAGCCCCAAGGAGCUCAUGGCACGAGUCCCAGGGAUGGGGAGAAAACACCAUG